rnacentral:rRNA from 1 species
UACGUAGGGCGCAAGCGUUGUCCGGAAUUAUUGGGCGUAAAGAGCGUGUAGGCGGCUAGGUAGGUCCGUUGUGAAAACUCGAGGCUCAACCUCGAGACGUCGAUGGAAACCAUCUAGCUAGAGUCCGGAAGAGGAGAGUGGAAUUCCUGGUGUAGCGGUGAAAUGCGCAGAUAUCAGGAAGAACACCCGUGGCGAAGGCGGCUCUCUGGUACGUGACUGACGCUGAGACGCGAAAGCGUGGGGAGCGAACAGG